rnacentral:misc_RNA from 1 species
GAAUAUUGAAAUUGAAAAAAAAAAAAAAAACCAACCAAACACUCCAAAAGUUCUCUUUCACACGCAGUCAAACUCCGGAAGUUUUCCCGAGAAAACGAAAUAUGGACUCAACGCCCGUGAACUGGGAAGCUUUGGACUCUCUUGUCAUUGAUUUCGCCAAAUCAGAGAAUUUAAUCGAGGAGUUCUUUUCUUCCCCAUCGCCAUUGUCUUCUCCUUCUCCUUCCUCUUCCGUCUCCUCUUCAUCUUACCAAUCCAGAUUGAUCAUUCGCCAGAUAAGACGGUGCUUGGAGGCUGGUGACAUUGACUCCGCCAUCGAUCUUCUCCGCACUCACGCUCCUUUCGUCCUCGAUGACCA